AGGGGCGUGGCUUAGUGGUUAGGGCAUUCGGCUCACAAUCGUAAGGUCGUGAGUUCAAUUCCUAACGACACUU
rnacentral:tRNA from 1 species